rnacentral:rRNA from 1 species
GGCAUGGUAGGGGAGCGUUCUGUAGGCCGAUGAAGGUGCAUUGUAAAGUGUGCUGGAGGUAUCAGAAGUGCGAAUGUUGACAUGAGUAGCGAUAAAGCGGGUGAAAAGCCCGCUCGCCGAAAGCCCAAGGUUUCCUGCGCAACGUUCAUCGGCGUAGGGUGAGUCGGCCCCUAAGGCGAGGCAGAAAUGCGUAGUCGAUGGGAAACAGGUUAAUAUUCCUGUACUUGAUUCAAAUGCGAUGUGGGGACGGAGAAGGUUAGGUUGGCAAGCUGUUGGAAUAGCUUGUUUAAGCCGGUAGGUGGAAGACUUAGGCAAAUCCGGGUCUUCUUAACACCGAGAAGUGACGACGAGUGUCUACGGACACGAAGCAACCGAUACCACGCUUCCAGGAAAAGCCACUAAGCUUCAGUUUGAAUCGAACCGUACCGCAAACCGACACAGGUGGGCAGGAUGAGAAUUCUAAGGCGCUUGAGAGAACUCAGGAGAAGGAACUCGGCAAAUUGAUACCGUAACUUCGGGAGAAGGUAUGCCCUCUAAGGUUAAGGACUUGCUCCGUAAGCCCUGGAGGGUCGCAGAGAAUAGGUGGCUGCGACUGUUUAUUAAAAACACAGCACUCUGCUAACACGAAAGUGGACGUAUAGGGUGUGACGCCUGCCCGGUGCUGGAAGGUUAAUUGAAGAUGUGCAAGCAUCGGAUCGAAGCCCCAGUAAACGGCGGCCGUAACUAUAACGGUCCUAAGGUAGCGAAAUUCCUUGUCGGGUAAGUUCCGACCCGCACGAAUGGCGUAACGAUGGCCACACUGUCUCCUCCUGAGACUCAGCGAAGUUGAAGUGGUUGUGAAGAUGCAAUCUACCCGCUGCUAGACGGAAAGACCCCGUGAACCUUUACUGUAGCUUUGCAUUGGACUUUGAAGUCACUUGUGUAGGAUAGGUGGGAGGCUUAGAAGCAGAGACGCCAGUCUCUGUGGAGCCGUCCUUGAAAUACCACCCUGGUGUCUUUGAGGUUCUAACCCAGACCCGUCAUCCGGGUCGGGGACCGUGCAUGGUAGGCAGUUUGACUGGGGCGGUCUCCUCCCAAAGCGUAACGGAGGAGUUCGAAGGUUACCUAAGUCCGGUCGGAAAUCGGACUGAUAGUGCAAUGGCAAAAGGUAGCUUAACUGCGAGACCGACAAGUCGAGCAGGUGCGAAAGCAGGACAUAGUGAUCCGGUGGUUCUGUAUGGAAGGGCCAUCGCUCAACGGAUAAAAGGUACUCCGGGGAUAACAGGCUGAUUCCGCCCAAGAGUUCAUAUCGACGGCGGAGUUUGGCACCUCGAUGUCGGCUCAUCACAUCCUGGGGCUGUAGUCGGUCCCAAGGGUAUGGCUGUUCGCCAUUUAAAGUGGUACGUGAGCUGGGUUUAAAACGUCGUGAGACAGUUUGGUCCCUAUCUGCAGUGGGCGUUGGAAGUUUGACGGGGGCUGCUCCUAGUACGAGAGGACCGGAGUGGACGAACCUCUGGUGUACCGGUUGUAACGCCAGUUGCAUAGCCGGGUAGCUAAGUUCGGAAGAGAUAAGCGCUGAAAGCAUCUAAGCGCGAAACUCGCCUGAAGAUGAGACUUCCCUUGCGGUUUAACCGCACUAAAGAGUCGUUCGAGACCAGGACGUUGAUAGGUGGGGUGUGGAAGCGCGGUAACGCGUGAAGCUAACCCAUACUAAUUGCUCGUGAGGCUUGACUCUAU